rnacentral:tRNA from 1 species
UGGACCAUUGUGUAACGGUAGCACUGCAGAUUUUGGUUCUGCCUGUCUAGGUUCGAAUCCUAGUGGUCCAACCA